rnacentral:rRNA from 1 species
UAUAAUGGGUCAGCGACUUAUAUUCUGUAGCAAGGUUAACCGAAUAGGGGAGCCGAAGGGAAACCGAGUCUUAACUGGGCGUUAAGUUGCAGGGUAUAGACCCGAAACCCGGUGAUCUAGCCAUGGGCAGGUUGAAGGUUGGGUAACACUAACUGGAGGACCGAACCGACUAAUGUUGAAAAAUUAGCGGAUGACUUGUGGCUGGGGGGGAAAGGCCAAUCAAACCGGGAGAUAGCUGGUUCUCCCCGAAAGCUAUUUAGGUAGCGCCUCGUGAAUUCAUCUCCGGGGGUAGAGCACUGUUUCGGCAAGGGGGUCAUCCCGACUUACCAACCCGAUGCAAACUGCGAAUACCGGAGAAUGUUAUCACGGGAGACACACGGCGGGUGCUAACGUCCGUCGUGAAGAGGGAAACAACCCAGACCGCCAGCUAAGGUCCCAAAGUCAUGGUUAAGUGGGAAACGAUGUGGGAAGGCCCAGACAGCCAGGAUGUUGGCUUAGAAGCAGCCAUCAUUUAAAGAAAGCGUAAUAGCUCACUGGUCGAGUCGGCCUGCGCGGAAGAUGUAACGGGGCUAAACCAUGCACCGAAGCUGCGGCAGCGACACUAUGUGUUGUUGGGUAGGGGAGCGUUCUGUAAGCCUGUGAAGGUGUACUGUGAGGUAUGCUGGAGGUAUCAGAAGUGCGAAUGCUGACAUAAGUAACGAUAAAGGGGGUAAAAACCCCGCUCGCCGGAAGACCAAGGGUUCCUGUCCAACGUUAAUCGGGGCAGGGUGAGUCGACCCCUAAGGCGAGGCCGAAAGGCGUAGUCGAUGGGAAACAGGUUAAUAUUCCUGUACUUGGUGUUACUGCGAAGGGGGGACGGAGAAGGCUAUGUUGGCCGGGCGACGGUUGUCCCGGUUUAAGCGUGUAGGCUGGUUUUCCAGGCAAAUCCGGAAAAUCAAGGCUGAGGCGUGAUGACGAGGCACUACGGUGCUGAAGCAACAAAUGCCCUGCUUCCAGGAAAAGCCUCUAAGCAUCAGGUAACAUCAAAUCGUACCCCAAACCGACACAGGUGGUCAGGUAGAGAAUACCAAGGCGCUUGAGAGAACUCGGGUGAAGGAACUAGGCAAAAUGGUGCCGUAACUUCGGGAGAAGGCACGCUGAUAUGUAGGUGA